rnacentral:snRNA from 1 species
GGAUGUGAGGGCAAUCUGGCUGCAACAUCUGUCACCCCAUUGAUUGCCAGGAUUGAUUGAGCUGAUCUGGCUGGCUAGACAGGUGUCCCCUUCCUCCCUCACCACUCCAUGUGUGUCCUUCCCGAUGCUGCGCGCUCGGUGGAAGAGGACGACGUCCCAGGUAUAGAAGGAGUGUACCGAGGUCUCCAGUCCUCGGUCCCGGGUAUACGAUAGCUGCGCUCCCCUGUGAGAACCUCCAAAUAAGCUCAUGUGUGUGAUAAUGUAAGAGAGUAGGAUAAGAUUUUAACAGAUAUGUCCCAUAACAUCCUCAAAAAUACAGUGCUCAUUGAGAUGACAUAUG